rnacentral:rRNA from 1 species
AUUGAACGCUGGCGGCAGGCUUAACACAUGCAAGUCGAGCGGGGGAAGGUAGCUUGCUACCGGACCUAGCGGCGGACGGGUGAGUAAUGCUAAGGAAUCUGCCUAUUAGUGGGGGACAACAUCUCGAAAGGGAUGCUAAUACCGCAUACGUCCUACGGGAGAAAGCAGGGGAUCUUCGGACCUCGCGCUAAUAGAUGAGCCUAAGUCGGAUUAGCUAGUUGGUGGGGUAAAGGCCUACCAAGGCGACGAUCUGUAGCGGGUCUGAGAGGAUGAUCCGCCACACUGGGACUGAGACACGGCCCAGACUCCUACGGGAGGCAGCAGUGGGGAAUAUUGGACAAUGGGGGGAACCCUGAUCCAGCCAUGCCGCGUGUGUGAAGAGGGCCUUAUGGUUGUAAAGCACUUUAAGCGAGGAGGAGGCUACUCUAGUUAAUACCUAGGGAUAGUGGACGUUACUCGCAGAAUAAGCACCGGCUAACUCUGUGCCAGCCGCCGCCGUAA